CUAAAUAUUCAUUAUACACUAAAUGUAUAUGGGAUCUAUGAGAUGCUAAGUAUAAAAAAGACACAAAGUAGUCAGGUUUCUGAAUGAACACCUAAUAUUCAUGAGGCCCUAAUUGAUAGUGCCAUUCUGACCCCAUGUGUCCUCUGACCAAGAAAUACAAAUUAACCGAGGGCUGUUGAUCAGCUCACUGAUGAGUUAUAGCUAUGGCCAGAGGUAAUUGUCCCUACAUCUCUCUAAGAGAGUUAAAGUAUGUGCCCAAGGCACCUUCCAUCUUUGGGCCCCCUUGUUCAAAUCUCAGUUCUGGUCACUGUAAGAUAGGUAUUUGUGUGGGGGCAGGGAAAAGAGAGAGAGAGAGAGAGAGAGAGAGAUUGACUAAGAGAAAGAGAGAGAUUGAGGACAAAUGAACACUGCUAAUCCAGAAUUCGAGCAGUGCGGUCCUUCCACACUGAACCUUGUUUAAAUGUAUUAACUUAUCCUGGCCUCCUUUCCUUUCUUUCUCCCUAUGUGUUCUAAAUGGAUUUUUAGCAAACCAUUUCAUGACUUCCUGGUAGUAUUUUUGGCAUUUUGAUAGCCUGAAAAGGCAUCAAGAUAAUUUCCAAAAAAAAAAAAAAAAAAAAAAAGAUAAUUUCCCACAGGAGGGUGGUAGAAAUUGGCUCUCAGGACCUUAGCGUGACCCCUGAUGAUUGUGCAUGAGAUCGCUUGUGGGCAAAUAUAAGUUGGGAGGUACUAUAAACAGAGAGACUCCUGUUUGCUGUUGGGCAAUAUUCUGGGGCUAGGGCCUCAGGAAGGAGGUUUCUGAUGAUAAUCCAUCUCUCUGGUCUGCUCCGGUAAUGAGGUAAAGACACACAAGAUAAGCUAAUCUAUCUAUCUAUCUAUCUAUCUAUCUAUCUAUCUAUCUAUCUAUCUAUUUAAUAUUUAAAGAUUGUAUUUAUUUAUUCAUAGAGACAGAGAAAGAGAGAGAGAGGCAGAGACACAGGCAGAGGGAGAAGCAGGCAUCAUACAGAGAGCCUGAUGUGGGACUCGAUCCAGGGUCUCCAGGAUCACGCCCUGGGCUGCAGGUGGCGCUAAACCUCUGCGCCACUGGGGCUGCCCAAGCUAAUCAAUUUAAAGACAUGGUGGCACCUGUCAAAGUGCAUCAGACACAGCAUCAUUGGAGAUUCUUGGCAGUACCAGUUAUUUUGGUCCAGUCACCGGCUGUGGGGUUUCAACAUGGCUGGUCCUGUUUUCCUUCCAGAGCUGGUAUCAAAUGGCUGUCCCUCAGAGGGCAGUUGCCCUGGUAGCUUCAAAAUCACUUCAGCUUUCCCUCAUCUUUCAUCAGAUGAACAGGUAGGUUAGUUUCAUAUUGUGAUUUUCUUACCUACUUUUUUCUGAUUCCCUCUGGUUUUUAUAGUGUGGCCUCUGAGACAGUUUUCUUAUGUUUUAAAAAUAAGUGUCUAUUAUAGAAUAUGUUCACUAAAAAUUGUCCAUGCUCAUUAGGUUUGGAAAACAAACGUAUAUAGAAAAAAAGAGAAAAAAGGCUAUAACCCCA
rnacentral:lncRNA from 1 species